GAUGAACGCUGGCGGCGUGCCUAAUACAUGCAAGUCGAGCGAAUGGAUUAAGAGCUUGCUCUUAUGAAGUUAGCGGCGGACGGGUGAGUAACACGUGGGUAACCUGCCCAUAAGACUGGGAUAACUCCGGGAAACCGGGGCUAAUACCGGAUAAUAUUUUGAACUGCAUGGUUCAAAAUUGAAAGGCGGCUUCGGCUGUCACUUAUGGAUGGACCCGCGUCGCAUUAGCUAGUUGGUGAGGUAACGGCUCACCAAGGCAACGAUGCGUAGCCGACCGGAGGGGGUGAUCGGCCAAACUGGGACUGAGACACGGCCCAGACUCCUACGGGAGGCAGCAGUAGGGAAUCUUCCGCAAUGGACGAAAGUCUGACGGAGCAACGCCGCGUGAGUGAUGAAGGCUUUCGGGUCGUAAAACUCUGUUGUUAGGGAAGAACAAGUGCUAGUUGAAUAAGCUGGCACCUUGACGGUACCUAACCAGAAAGCCACGGCUAACUACGUGCCAGCAGCCGCGGUAA
rnacentral:rRNA from 1 species